GAUGAAGAACGUAGCGAACUGCGAUAAGUAAUGUGAAUUGCAGAAUUCAGUGAAUCAUCGAGUCUUUGAACGCACAUUGCGCCCCCUGGCAUUCCGGGGGGCAUGUCUGUCCGAGCGUCAUUGCUGCCCUUCAAGCCCGGCUUGUGUGUUGGGUCGUCGUCCCCCCCGGGGGACGGGCCCGAAAGGCAGCGGCGGCACCGCGUCCGGUCCUCGAGCGUAUGGGGCUUUGUCACCCGCUCGAUUAGGGCCGGCCGGGCGCCAGCCGGCGUCUCCAACCUUCUAUUUUACCAGGUUGACCUCGGAUCAGGUAGGGAUACCCGCUGAACUUAAGCAUAUCAAUAAGCGGAGGA
rnacentral:misc_RNA from 1 species